ACUCCUACGGGAGGCAGCAGUGGGGAAUUUUGGACAAUGGGGGAAACCCUGAUCCAGCCAUCCCGCGUGUGCGAUGAAGGCCUUCGGGAAGUAAAGCACUUUUGGGAGGAAAGAAACGUCGCGGGCUAAUACCCCGCGGAACUGACGGUACCUGCAGAAUAAGCACCGGCUAACUACGUGCCAGCAGCCGCGGUAAU
rnacentral:rRNA from 1 species